AGUGAACGCUGGCGGUAGGCCUAACACAUGCAAGUCGAACGGCAGCACAGGAGAGCUUGCUCUCUGGGUGGCGAGUGGCGGACGAGUGAGGAAUACAUCGGAAUCUACCUUGUCGUGGGGGAUAACGUAGGGAAACUUACGCUAAUACCGCAUACGACCUUCGGGUGAAAGUGGGGGACCGCAAGGCCUCACGCGAUUAGAUGAGCCAAUGUCGGAUUAGCUAGUUGGCGGGGUAAAAGCCCACCAAGGCGACGAUCCGUAGCUGGUCUGAGAGGAUGAUCAGCCACACUGGAACUGAGACACGGUCCAGACUCCUACGGGAGGCAGCAGUGGGGAAUAUUGGACAAUGGGCGCAAGCCUGAUCCAGCCAUACCGCGUGGGUGAAGAAGGCCUUCGGGUUGUAAAGCCCUUUUGUUGGGAAAGAAAUCUUGCCGGUUAAUACCUGGCGAGGAUGACGGUACCCAAAGAAUAAGCACCGGCUAACUUCGUGCCAGCCGCCGCAGUAACAC
rnacentral:rRNA from 1 species